CCGCCCAAGACAUAUUCCGGCGCCGGCGGAAUUUCCAGCCCCGUUCCGCCCAAGACGUAUUCCGGCGCCGGCGGAAUUUCCAGCCCCGUUCCGCCCAAGACGUAUUCCGGCGCCGGCGGAAUUUCCAGCCCCGUCCCGCCCAAAAUAUAUUCCGCCGCCGGCGCCGAAAUCUUGUCGCCGGGCAAAAACGAGGAGGAAAUCUACGGAAGCCCGGAAGGGACCAAGCCGGAGAAAUCGUACGUGGGAAGGGCGGGGUUUGGGAAGUCCCGCCCCCGGAAGUCCCG